AUUGAACGCUGGCGGCAGGCUUAACACAUGCAAGUCGAGCGGGGUGAUGGUGCUUGCACUAUCACCUAGCGGCGGACGGGUGAGUAAUGCUUAGGAAUCUGCCUAUUAGUGGGGGACAACAUCUCGAAAGGGAUGCUAAUACCGCAUACGUCCUACGGGAGAAAGCAGGGGAUCACUUGUGACCUUGCGCUAAUAGAUGAGCCUAAGUCGGAUUAGCUAGUUGGUGGGGUAAAGGCCUACCAAGGCGACGAUCUGUAGCGGGUCUGAGAGGAUGAUCCGCCACACUGGGACUGAGACACGGCCCAGACUCCUACGGGAGGCAGCAGUGGGGAAUAUUGGACAAUGGGGGGAACCCUGAUCCAGCCAUGCCGCGUGUGUGAAGGAGGCCUUAUGGUUGUAAAGCACUUUAAGCGAGGAGGAGGCUCUUUUGGUUAAUACCCAAGAUGAGUGGACGUUACUCGCAGAAUAAGCACCGGCUAACUCUGUGCCAGCAGCCGCAGUAA
rnacentral:rRNA from 1 species